UACGUAGGGAGCAAGCGUUGUCCGGAAUCAUUGGGCGUAAAGCGCGCGUAGGUGGCUUCGUAAGUCCGUUGUGAAAGUCAAAGGCUCAACCUUUGAAAGCCGAUGGAUACUGCGGAGCUAGAGUACGGAAGAGGCGAGUGGAAUUCCUGGUGUAGCGGUGAAAUGCGCAGAUAUCAGGAGGAACACCAAUGGCGAAGGCAGCUCGCUGGGACGGUACUGACGCUGAGACGCGAAAGCGUGGGGAGCAAACAGG
rnacentral:rRNA from 1 species